UUAAAAUAUUGACAUGUCCUUUUGUUGUUUACCCAGGACCUUUUUCGAAGACUUUCUUAAAGUGUGUUUCCAAUGUGUGCUCUUGGAUUUGUUUUGUUCAUUUAAAACAUUUAAACACAACAAGUGUGAUGCUUUUUGAGGCUUGAGCUGCAAUUAAGGGCUUCACAAAUCCAUGUGAUUUAGUAAAGUGCCAGGUUAGGAGGAAGUCGAGAGCGGGCCAAUUUUUAAGUAAACAACAGCCAGAUUGCAUUUGUGUGUUCACAGGGUCAAGAGUGACAGCUUGAAACCAUGACUGAUGAAGAAGUUUAUUUUCAGAAGUGUCGAGAUGUGAUAAAAGGAACAAAUGUGGAUAGAAGCACACACUCUUAUCUGCACGAAUCAUGUGACUGUACAGGCCUUUGUUUGAGGCGUACUGUCGACUUGGUCAGGCAGUCACACUUCCAUUUGACACUCGUGACACUAUCUCUCUCCUCAGUCUUCCUCUUUGUCACUCAUGCACUCACACACAAAUGUAGUGUCAAUAAUGGCAGGCUACAGUCUGUAUAAUGAUCCUAUCUUCCCAGAUUGUCGGGGUGCUGUCUGCUUUGUCUGUCACACAAAGAGAAGAGAGGCAGUGUGAGUACAAGUGGAUCACCCCCAAGUAAAUGAAGAACAUCAUCAUGGCGUCCUGCAACAGACUUCCUAUGUCAACAGAAGCUUUGAUUAAUGAGGGACAGGCGGCAGUAGCCUUUGUAAGACUUGGACAAAAGCUGCAUUACAUGAAAUCAUGACAUAGAGAAUUGCUGAAGGGCAGGGUUCAUCCACAAUGUACCCACAAUGCACCAGUGAUGGAAGAGAGCAGCGCUGACACCGGAAUCGCACACAAAAGAAGGUCAGCUUUUUUUCUUUUCUUCUUUUUAGCAAUUUUCUUUUGCAAGGAUUUCAACAAUGCCGCCACAAUCAAUUUUUCUUUGCUUUUUUUAUUUUUUUUUAGAAACACUUUUCAGAAAACUGUUCUCUUUCACAGCAGAAAUUGUGAAGACGCUUUGAGGAAAACGCACAAAAGAACAUCUGACGUAAAAAAAAGUGAUUAUAAUAAUAGCCUUUAUGAUUUUCAGAGUAGGUUUGUUCAAACAUGUUUUUUCACAGUUUUUGUAAACUAAGACAGACGCAUGUAUGAUUCUGAAGAGGUCGUCACAGUGAUAUAUAUAUCAUUUGGAUUCAAGGCACAAUGUUAAAAAGCAGUUUCCUUGAAUCCUAACAUUGAAUUUUCUUUUGGUUUAUUUUCCCUCUCAGACAGCAUGAGGGAGUGUUUAUAUGUUGUAUUAUUAAAAAGGGAGAGAGAUGAGACAGUGACUAAUCUAUUUCCUUUCACACACAGCAGCCAGUAAUCACUGUUCUGUGAAGCCGCUCACUCAUCCAUCCAUAAUGUCACCAAGACACAUUAUGUGUGUGUUUCUGUGUGCACGUGUGUGAUUUGUAGGAGCUUUGAAAGCAGGUGUUAAGAAUUUCUGUAUGGGCAUUCGGGUGUGUGCAAAGAGGGUGUGUGCAAAGAGUGUGUGUGUGUGUGUGUGUGUGUGUGUGUGUGUGUGUGUGUGUGUGUGUGUGUGUGUGUGUGUGUGUGUGUGUGUGUGUGUGUGUGUGUGUGUGUGUGUGUGUGUGUGUGUCUGCUUUUUUAACUCUCCAUCCAUGCUGCAGAUUUAAACGCAACACAUUCUCCCUGCAGCCUGUGGCUCGAUCUCACAUUGUCAACUAGCGGAGGUCACACUCUAAUGUGUGAACAUGCCUCCCUCUGUCCGGCCCUGAAAGGCAGAUGAAGUUUUCUGCUUGGACAAGGCCACAAAGACACGUAUCCCGAUUGAAAAGCUUCGCCUGUGCGCCUUGACUCAUUCCCGUCUCCCUGGGGAGUCCUCUCUGACAGACUGCAGGGGAAAUUGACCUUGUUCAGGUGGGCUGGUGACGCAUCACCUCAAGCAGGCGUCUUAUUAGCCGAGCGCUAACAGGCAACGUGUUUUCCCGUGGGGGCUGAAUGCUGCUGAGUCAUACUGUACAAACUGAACUGCACAGGUAUUCAGUCUUCAGCCUGACACACACACACACACACACACACACACACACACACACAAACACACACACAGGCACACACACACUGACACACACAUAGAUGCUGAAUGGCAAAUACACCCACCUACACAUAGGAACUUCUGAUUUGCUUGAUUCCAAUGGGAGUUUUUCGGUGUUGGUGUAUUCGUUUCUGUGUAUGUGUGUGUUUGUGUUUGGUGUGUGUAUGAUGGCAGAGUCAUAAAGAGAAGGAGGAUGAUAAUGUAACUUCUCUAGCCAACCCUCCAACUCUCCUUUUCUCCAUCACCAGCCCAGCUUGAGCCCAGACUCAUUGACAGAUCGUCUCUCGCCCCUUUAAAUCGUCCUCUUUCCCUGAUUACUGUUACUCUGAGUGGGUAACAUGUCACACUGUAAUGGAUCUCUGUGGUGACAGACCACUCACUGUGCUGUAGCCCUGUCACAGAGCAAAACCUCCUCAUUUUGACUCAUUUUAUUUUGCCUUUGAUAUCAACUGUCCAUAUUUCCCUGCAGGUUAAAAAUCAUGUUUAAG